GAUGAACGCUGGCGGCGUGCUUAACACAUGCAAGUCGAACGAUGAAGCCCAGCUUGCUGGGUGGAUUAGUGGCGAACGGGUGAGUAACACGUGAGUAACCUGCCCUUAACUCUGGGAUAAGCCUGGGAAACUGGGUCUAAUACCGGAUAGGAGCGUCCACCGCAUGGCGGGUGUUGGAAAGAUUUAUCGGUUUUGGAUGGACUCGCGGCCUAUCAGCUUGUUGGUGAGGUAAUGGCUAACCAAGGCGACGACGGGUAGCCGGCCUGAGAGGGUGACCGGCCACACUGGGACUGAGACACGGCCCAGACUCCUACGGGAGGCAGCAGUGGGGAAUAUUGCACAAUGGGCGCAAGCCUGAUGCAGCGACGCCGCGUGAGGGAUGACGGCCUUCGGGUUGUAAACCUCUUUCAGUAGGGAAGAAGCGAAAGUGACGGUACCUGCAGAAGAAGCACCGGCUAACUACGUG
rnacentral:rRNA from 1 species